rnacentral:misc_RNA from 1 species
GAUGAAGAACGCAGCAAAAUGCGAUAAGUAAUGUGAAUUGCAGAAUUCAGUGAAUCAUCGAAUCUUUGAACGCACAUUGCGCCCGCUGGUAUUCCGGCGGGCAUGCCUGUUCGAGCGUCAUUUCAACCCUCAAGCCCCCGGGUUUGGUGUUGGGGAUCGGCUCUGCCCUUCUGGGCGGUGCCGCCCCCGAAAUACAUUGGCGGUCUCCCUGCAGCCUCCAUUGCGUAGUAGCUAACACCUCGCAACUGGAACGCGGCGCGGCCAUGCCGUAAAACCCCAACUUCUGAAUGUUGACCUCGGAUCAGGUAGGAAUACCCGCUGAACUUAAGCAUAUCAAUAAGCGGAGGA